rnacentral:rRNA from 1 species
CUGGGGCUUAACCCCAGACCUGCAUUCGAUACGGGCGAGCUAGAGUGUGGUAGGGGAGACUGGAAUUCCUGGUGUAGCGGUGGAAUGCGCAGAUAUCAGGAGGAACACCAAUGGCGAAGGCAGGUCUCUGGGCCAUUACUGACACUGAGGAGCGAAAGCGUGGGGAGCGAACAGGAUUAGAUACCCUGGUAGUCCAGACCGUAAACGGUGGGCACUAGUUGUGGGAACCUUCCACGGUUUCUGCGACGCAGCUAACGCAUUAAGUGCCCCGCCUGGGGAGUACGAUCGCAAGAUUAAAACUCAAAGGAAUUGACGGGGCCCCGCACAAGCAGCGGAGCAUGCGGCUUAAUUCGACGCAACGCGAAGAACCUUACCAAGGCUUGACAUAUAGGGAAAAGUGGCAGAGAUGUCAUGUCCGCAAGGGCUCUAUACAGGUGGUGCAUGGUUGUCGUCAGCUCGUGUCGUGAGAUGUUGGGUUAAGUCCCGCAACGAGCGCAACCCUCGUUCUGUGUUGCCAGCAUUUAGUUGGGGACUCACAGGAGACUGCCGGGGUUAACUCGGAGGAAGGUGGGGAUGACGUCAAAUCAUCAUGCCCCUUAUGUCUUGGGCUGCACGCAUGCUACAAUGGCCGGUACAGAGGGCUGCAAUACCGCAAGGUGGAGCGAAUCCCAAAAAGCCGGCCUCAGUUCGGAUUGAGGUCUGCAACUCGACCUCAUGAAGUUGGAGUUGCUAGUAAUCGUAGAUCAGCAUCGCUACGGUGAAUACGUUCCCGGGGCUUGUACGCACCGCCCGUCACGUCACGAAAGUCGGUAACACCCAAAGUCAGUGGCCCAACCGCAAGGGGGAAGCUGCCUAAGGUGGGAUCGGUGAUUGGGACG